AUGACUCCCCUGUGGCUCUUCCUCUUCCUGCUGUCAGCUCCCAGAUGUGUCCUGUCCCAGGUACAGCUGCAGGAGUCGGGCCCAGGACUGGUGAAGCCCUCGCAGACCCUCUCCCUCACCUGCACUGUCUCUGGAUUCUCCAUCACAACCAGUGGUUACUGCUGGGAAUGGAUCCGCCAGCCCCCGGGGAAGGGGCUGGAGUGGAUGGGGAAUAUCUGGUAUAAUGGAGACACUUACUACAGCCCCUCCCUCAAGAGCCGAACCUCCAUCUCCAGAGACACGUCCAAGAACCAGUUCUCCCUGCAGCUGAGGUCCGUGACCACCGAGGACACGGCCAUGUAUUACUGUGCCAGAGACACAGUGAGGGGAACCUCUGGAUUCACCUUCAGUGGCUACUGGAUGAACUGGGUCCGCCAGGCUCCAGGGAAGGGGCUGGAGUGGGUCUCACACAUUAGUCAUGAUGGUAGUAGUUACAUAUACUACGCUGCCUCUGUGAAGGGCCGCUUCACCAUCUCCAGAGACAACGCCAGGAACACGCUGUACCUGCAAAUGAGCAGCCUGAGAGCCGAGGACACGGCCCUGUAUUACUGUGCAAGAGACACAAACCUGGUCCCAGGGGAUGUGUCCCAACACCUGUCCCGCUUCCCCUGGAGAACCACCUGCAUCCUGAGAACCUGUUGA